AGUGAACGCUGGCGGUAGGCCUAACACAUGCAAGUCGAACGGCAGCACAGUAAGAGCUUGCUCUUACGGGUGGCGAGUGGCGGACGGGUGAGGAAUACAUCGGAAUCUACUUUUUCGUGGGGGAUAACGUAGGGAAACUUACGCUAAUAUCGCAUCCGACCUACGGGUGAAAGCAGGGGAUCUUCUCACCUUGUGCGAUUGAAUGAGCCGAUGUCGGAUUAGCUAGUUGGCGGGGUAAAGGCCCACCCAGGCGACGAUCCGUAGCUGGUCUGAGAGGAUGAUAGGCGACACUGGAGCUGGAACACGCACAAGACUCCUACGGGAGGCAGCAGUGGGGAAUAUGGGACAAUGGGCGCGAGCCUGAUCCAGCCAGACCACGUCGGUGGAGGAGGCGUUCGGGUUGUAAAGCCCUUUUGUUGGUAAUAAAAAGCAUCAGGUUGAUACCCCGCUGUUGUGACGGUACCCGAAGAAUAAGCACCGGCUAACUACGUG
rnacentral:rRNA from 1 species